rnacentral:tRNA from 1 species
AUUUAAGUAGUUUAAGUAAAAAAUACUGAUUUGUGGUGUCAGUGAUACAAAUUUAUUUGUUUUAGAUC